rnacentral:rRNA from 2 species
GGGCGUCUCUUUCUCAUUGCGAGUGGAGGCGCACCCAGAGCGUACACGCUGAUACCCGAAAGAUGGUGAACUAUGCCCGGCCAGGACGAAGCCAGGGGAAACCCUGGUGGAGGUCCGCAGCGAUUCUGACGUGCAAAUCGAUCGUCGGAGCUGGGUAUAGGGGCGAAAGACCAAUCGAACCAUCUAGUAGCUGGUUCCCUCCGAAGUUUCCCUCAGGAUAGCUUGCGCUCACGUGAACGAGUCUCAUCCGGUAGAGCGAAUGAUUAGAGGCCUUGGGGUCGAAACGACCUCAACCUAUUCUCAAACUCCAAAUAGAUGAGAACUCCGGCUUUCUUGAACUUUGUUUUUGAAGCCGGGGGCUCGGAUCAGAGUGCCAAGUGGGCCAAUUUU